rnacentral:piRNA from 1 species
UGGCAGUGCCAAGGCUGGCGCAGUCA